CCCCUCUCAGGGUCACUCCUGGAGAGUUUCCAAGACUCUACAAGUCUCGGCUAUAGGAAGGAGAGUCAAGCAGAGGCAUACCCAUUCCAAUCCUAGCUUGGGCAGUGACUAGCGAGUGGAAGGCAAUCUGCUACAAGU